rnacentral:lncRNA from 1 species
GAUAUCUAGUUAAAUAAGUCAUUAUAAAUAGUUGCUCCGUGGGCUUUCCGCAUUUCACCCUGCUCCAGGCAGCGUGGUCUGUAUGGCUCCGCCCUGGGCAGGAGGAGAAAGAAGAGGGCCAGGCACCACGUGCCUGCACUCUCCCUGGAUGCUGGAGGCUGCUCCGCCGUGGGCAGGAGGAGAAGGAAGAGAACUGGGUGCCGCCUGCCUGCACUCUCUCCGGAUGCUGGAGGCUGGAGGCAGUGAGGCAGCAACAGCGCGAGGGCGAGGCGACUUUGGAGCUGCCUCAUGCAGCGACCUCGCCUUCCGCUGCGCCUCCUCCCAGAACCCAAGAAGCCUGGAACCUGUGGCGUCCAGCCCUGAAAGGAGGAGACGGCAACCCAGCCGCGCUUUUGCCUGCACUCUCCCUGGAUGCUGGAGGCUGGAGGCAGUGACGCAGCAACAGCGCGAGGCGACUUUGGAGCGGCCUCAUAUAGCGACCUCGCCUUCCGCUGCGCGUCCUCCCAGAGCCCAAGAAGCCCGGAACCUGUGGCAUCCAUCUCUGAAAGGAGAAGACGGCAACCCAGCCGAGGCACUACUGGGUUGGGGUCUCCACGACCGAGCUGGUCUCAUCAAGUGGCGUCCAACAAGGGGCUCAAACCCGGGUUGAGGGGUUGCUGGAGCGACGGAGAACGUGGAACUACACUGGAGGACACCAGAGUACUCUUAAGCAAUCCCUUGUCUGCAGAUGUGGAUCCCGAAUCCUGCGAGAAGUAGCCCACCAUGACGAAGCUGCCUUUGCUUUUAUCGCUUUGCAAAAACAGAAAAGGGGACAUGCUGGGAACAGGCCCUAAGCCUGUCAUAAACAGGCCUUAAACUGACCAUGAACAGGAUUUCUGCACGAAUGUGACGUGCUCCUGAUGGCUAUGACGCCCACUGCUAGAAGUUGUUAGUUUACUGGAGCAGGGUAGGGAACACCUGGCCCACCCGGAGCGGAAAACUGCUCAAACCACAAACAACAGCAUGAGUGGCCUGAGCCUUAACAACAUGUUUUUGCUGCAGAUAAUCGGCCAGAGACUGUUUCUCUACUCCUCUCUAAGUAUGCUUUGUUUUUCGUAAGGAAUGCUUUUAGCUAAUCUGUAACCUAUAGAAACAAUGCUUAUCACUGGCUUGCUGUCAAUAAACAUGUGGGUCAAACUCUGUUUGUGGCUCUCAGCUCUCAAGGCUGUUUUCCCCCUGAUUCCCACUUUGCACUUUAUUUCUGUGUGUUUGUCUUCAUUCCUCUAGCACCACUGGGUUGGGGUCUCCUUGACCAAGCUGGUCUCGGCACAUAUGCAUGUAUGCCCAGGUCCUGAAAUCAGCCUUGUGGAGCCUGUGGGUAGGAAAAGUCAACCCUCUGUGCAUGUAGGCCUGGAACCUGACCAAUACUGUAUUUUCCUACCACGUUUGGUUUCAAAUGUGGAAACUGCCCAUACGGACCUACUGCAUUUGUUUUUAAAAAUCCUCUGUAAGUGGACCUGCACAGUUCAGGCCCAGAUUGUUCCAGGAUCAACCCUACAGUAGAAAUCAAGUAUCUUUUUCAUUGUCUCUUGGGAUCUGCCUUUUCACCAAUAAAAUAUGAGGGCUGUUGGGAGCAGGCCCCCCCAAAUCUGGCCAUAAACUGUCCCCAAAACUGGCCAUAAACAAAAUCUCUGCAGCACUAUAACAUGUUCAUAAUGGCCAUAACGCCCAAGUUGGAAGGUUGUGGAUUUACAGGAAUGAGGGCAAGGAACACCUGGCCUGCCCAGGGUGGAAAACCACUUAAAGGCAUUCUUAAGCCACAAACAAUAGCAUGAGUGAUCUGUGCCUUAAGAACAUGCUCCUGCUGCAGUUAACUAGCCCAACAUAUUCCUUUAAUUCAGUCCAUCCCUUCGUUUCCCAUAAGGGAUACUUUUAGUUAAUUUAAUAUCUAUAGAAAGAAUGCUAAUGACUGGUUUGCUGUUAAUAAAUACGUGGGUAAAUCUCUGUUUGGGGCUCUCAACUCUGAAGGCUGUGAGACCCCUGAUUUCCCACUUGACACCUCU